rnacentral:rRNA from 1 species
CUGGGGAGUACGUCGCAAGAAUGAAACUCAAAGGAAUGACGGGACCGCAACAAGCGGUGGAGCAUGUGGUUUAAUUCGAAGCAACGCGAAGAACCUUACCUAGUCUGACAUCCCACUGAAAGUUCUGGUAAUGCAGAACCUUCUUCGGAACAGUGGUGACAGGUGGUGCAUGGUGUCGUCAGCUCGUGUCGUGAGAUGUUGGGUUAAGUCCCGCAACGGGCGCAACCCUUAUCUUUAGUAGCCAGCAUUUGGGAUGGGCACUCUAGAGAGACUGCCCGGGUGAACCGGGAGGAAGGUGGGGAUGACGUCAAAUCAUCAUGCCCCUUAUGAUUUGGGCUACACACGUGCUACAAUGGCGUAAACAAAGGGAAGCAAUUGGGUGACCAUGAGCAAAUCUCAAAAAUAACGUCUCAGUUCGGAUUGUAGUCUGCAACUCGACUACAUGAAGCUGGAAUCGCUAGUAAUCGCGAAUCAGAAUGUCGCGGUGAAUACGUUCCCGGGUCUUGUACACACCGCCCGUCACACCAUGGGAGUUGGGAAUGCCCGAAGUCUGUGACCCAACCGUAAGGAGGGAGCAGCCGAAGGCAGGCUCGAUAACUGGGGUGAAGUCGUAACAAGGUAACCUA